UAACGCGUGGGAAUCUGCCCGGGAGUGGGGGAUAACCGAGGGAAACCUCGGCUAAUACCGCAUACGGCCUGAGGGCGAAAGAUUUAUCGCUCUAGGAGGGGCCCGCGUCGGAUUAGCUUGUUGGCGGGGUAACGGCCCACCAAGGCUAUGAUCCGUAGCUGGUCUGAGAGGAUGAUCAGCCACACUGGGACUGAGACACGGCCCAGACUCCUACGGGAGGCAGCAGUGGGGAAUAUUGGACAAUGGGCGCAAGCCUGAUCCAGCAAUGCCGCGUGAGUGAUGAAGGCCUUAGGGUUGU
rnacentral:rRNA from 1 species